UUAAUUCUUCAACCUUGGGGGAGAGUUGUCUUUCUCAAGGCUUGGAUCAUGGAGUUUGCUGGCAUCUUGCUGGCUCCUCUCAAAUGCAUUAGCAAAGAACCGUCAAGGGAAAACGGCUCUGGUUUGAUAACAUCUAUGCCAUUGCUGGGAAAACUUUGGGUUCAGCUUCCAACUUGUUAUCCUUCAUUGGACAACACUCGAAA
rnacentral:misc_RNA from 1 species